GGGAGGAACAACCCCAGUGGUGGGGCCAGCUCUAGAGCCCCGGAUUCAGCCCCCGCAGGAACUCCAGAGCUCUCCUCCGUCUGCAGGGCCUGGAGGCUCCGGGCGGGG
rfam:Canis lupus familiaris chromosome 23, whole genome shotgun sequence.